GGAGAGGUCCCUGAAGGAAGGCUGAAAGCAGGAGUGUAGCAGAGCUCUUUACUGGCUGAUCUCCCCAAGCUGCAGAGCAAUGGCUGAAGAUAGGAGAGCAGCAGAGGGAGUUGCCAGCUGAUUUCUGAGCUGGAGUUGGAGGCUGGAGAGCAGAAAAGGGACUUAUCUGCUGGCCUGCAUGAGGGGCAUCCUACUACGUUUUGCACUGCCUUUCAAGAGCCCUGCUAACAGGGCCGGCACCAGAGCAGCAAGCAGGUGCUUGGGGCGGCCAACGGAAAGGGGCGGCACGUCCAGCUCUUCGGCGGCAGUUUGGCGAGUCCCUCAGUUCCUCUCGGAGGGAAGGACCUACUGCCGAAUUGCGGCCGAAGAAGCGGCGGCGGUAGAGCUGCCACCGAUCGUGGCUUUUUUUCCCCCACUGCUUGGGGUGGCAAAAACGCUGGAGCAGGCCCUGGCCCUGCCUGCUAACCUGUGGGUCCACCAUCUCUGUGACAAGCAUGAAUCCUGCACUGCUCUUCAAUAGUGCACUGAGUUUAUGAGCACAACAUGCCUGAUCCUGCAGUAUUUCUUGAGCUGCAAAUAUGACGAUGACGCCUUGCUGGCUGCCUUACUGUACGCCAUGGAAAAAACAAUUAAAGAUUGCUGUUGGCAUUCACAGAGCAACUGCACACAGUGGACUGCAGGUUCUGGUCCUGAGAAACAAGCAAUGACUUGUGGGACUGCAUUAUUGUGCAGGUAUGAUGAGCGGUGGCUGCAGAACUUCUGGAUGCGCAAGGCCACAUUCCUGUGGCCCAGCCCUCUGAUGCAGCUAUACGAAAAUGAGAGCUGCACUCAUGGUGGAGAAGCAAGUGGUAAUCACUGUGUGGAAGCUGGCAACACCAGAUUGCUACUGAUCAGUAGCAAGGAAUCAGUUUGGAGUUGAUAAAUCCACUAUGGGGGUUGCUGUGAUGAAAGUGUGCAGGGCCAUUAAUUGCAUUCUGCUACAACGGACUGUGACUCUAGGCAAUGUGCAGGAAAUAGCAGAUGUUUUCUCAUGGAGACAUUACUUUUUUCCCCACUCAUUUUUCAUUAAUUUGAAAUCGAUGCAGAGGCUGAAAACACACGGCUACUCUUUGUGUAACCCUUGGCCAGUUGCUGGUAGUGAAAACAGCCAAGUUCAAUUUUCUAGGGGUUUCCUUACAGACUUAACUAGCACUAGCUCAUGAAACCUGGGAAACUGUACACACCAUCCUGGGCACCCUGAUGUGCAAUUCCUUUCCCUUUGCAAACACUGAAUCAGGGGUUACAACGCAGAGAAUUUAUUUUUGGAGGGUGGGUAGUGAGAGAAGGAGGAAAACAGCAGCAUGAAUUUGGGAAGACCAGCAAUUAACAUUCUAUGAUGUCAGACUCCCUUUCCCCCCAUGCUGUCCCAACCUCAGUCCUCUUUUGGCCACUGAGAGUGGCUCAUGUGUUUUGGCCACUUCCCUUCUCCCCACUCAUGGUUAGCUAUCCUCAGCUGGAGAAGCCCCAGGCUUCAGUGCUGCCUGGGUUGCUGUGCAGGUUCUACUACCCACCCUAGCAGGGGUGAUUCAGUUUUAAUUGCUGGGUAGGGCAGCCCACACCACAGUCCUGGGAUAGGCUGCUGCGCUCGCUCGCGCUCUCUCUCUCUCUCUCUCUCUCUCUGUGUGGCUUCAGCCCAAACUGCCUAGUUCUGCCACUGUUCUGAGCCACCUGUCCCCUUGACACCACCAUCGCUCCAAACCGGCCAUCUCCUUGAAAUCACCACCACCACCACCACCCUGAGCAGCCUGAAAGCUACUGCUAGUGAUGCUCUGUGCCACUCAUUGCCACCAAGCUGCCGCUAUGGUCUCAAAGCUGCCACCACUCUGCACUGGCCAGCAUGCUCAGCUCCUUGGGAGGAAUCAGUGGUAUUUAUGACCACUGGCAGAAUCCUUAUCACUAGAGAGAUAAUCCAACUCACAGACAGGAAUUUUUUCUCCUUUUUUUUUUUUUCCGGGGUGCUGUGUCUGGGCUUCCUUAACCAGCGGCACCUGACAACAGUGUGUCAGCUGACCCCAGGCUCAUUUGCUGUUGAUGUUUUGUCCUUGUAUUUCCGAACAAGGUCAAUUGCAUUUCAUGGCCCCAAAUACAAACCAUAACUGAAUUUUAACCAAGAUGCCCCAAACUGUCACAAAACUGAAGUACAAAUGAGGCCUGGCCCACCCAGUCAAACUCUUUUUGGUCUCCAACAGAUGCAUGCAGCUCUUAAACAGCUCUCUUCUCUCAUGUCACCAGCAGAGGGCAGCAGUGAGCUCCUUUCGCUCCGGCCCCACAGGGUUCUCAUUUGUGUAUCAUGGAAAAUUCCUAAUGAAAAUUUUCCUUACAAUAAAUUUUAAGUCUCCUGUUUCACGUACUCAAAUGGCAUCUGCGACCUGUGCGUCCUAAGCUAUAUCACCACACUGUCAAGAUGCCUUCAACUUACUCUUGUUUGUUAUAUUUUGGAUAAUAUUUUUAGUGAUUUAGAGCUAGAUUUUUAAAGACCAAACCACCUCUCUUUUUCAUGAGCAUAUUGCAAGCACAAUGGGCAUUUCUACAUCGAAAUGAAAUAAUUCUGCAGGUGCAAAAAGUGAAGACCUUGUUAUGCUGGGAUUGAAAAAUCAGGCCAUUAAUCUUUGUACUCAGAUAUAAUUAUAGACUCUGUUUAAUACAUUUCAGUUUCCCUUCAGACUAGUUUUAUGCUGAAUGAGCACACUCAUCACAGUAUGAAUACGUAUUAUAAUGGGUUAUGGUAAAAAAUCCCUUUUCCACUAUAACAAUUGAGAGAUUCUUUAAUGACUUAUGAUUCAAUGUGGAACAGGAAACGUUGGGAGCACAGUCACUGAGGAAGAGAAGUGUAUAUUCCAACUGAAGAGAUGAUAAAGGAGAUAAAAUGGGCAUUUUGAUUUUGAGGCUAAGAAUCCUAUAGAUUUAUUUAGAAGAGCAAGUUAAAUAAUACCUUCUACAAAAGCAUAACACAUCUAACAGAAGCAGGCUAAAUACUGAAAAAUCAUUUUAUUUUUCAAUGGUAAAGAAAUGAGAGAAGACUCAUAGAUCUUGGUGACAAGCGCAUAGUGAUAACUAUAAAAGAUCUUAUUGGAAUGGAUAUCUCCACAUUCAAGUGACUGGCUUUAAUCCAAGUCUUUAUUUCUAAGUCUUAAAAAUGAUGUGUGUCUAAACAUCAUAAAAAGGUUUGUUUUGUUUUGCUUGUUUUUUAGUGGAAAUUGCUGUAACUAAGCUCAGUUAUUAUUGGAAUUUGGAAGGGAACAUUUAUCACUACUAAACAGGAUGGCUUUUAUUUACAGUUCUUAAAAAAAAGUAUCAGGCAUUGAAAAUUUUAAACUUGUAACCAAUCAGCAACAUUAUUAGCUCAGAAAAUACGAAAGAGAAACCCCUCUCAGCCACUCUAUCUUUCGUCUUAUAAAUACACUGUAGAAAUUUUAUGUAGUGCAUGGAAAGCCAGACACAUGAGUGUCUAACCAUCUCCGUUCAUUCAGUAUUUGAUUUUUGGCACUGUGCUUCAGUGCGUAGCAUAUUAAAUGAACAAUGGAAACAUGCAAAAAACUUUCCUAAACCCCAUGUUGGUCUACAAUGUAGUAAAAGAGCAUGUAUAAAAUAGUAAGAAAUAUUUAUGCAUUUAAUACAUACUGUACACGUGUGGAAUAACUAGCGACUUAAUGCUGAAGCAUUUUCCAUCACACACAGAUUAUUUGGGGCUACCGUGGCCUGCCUGCUUUGAAAGCAAGAUUAUUUUCUUCUAAGAAAAGUGAAUGAUUUAAGAUUUACAUUUGCAUGGGGUAGCAGAAGGUUAUUUUCGCUGACAAAAAUGAGGUAUGUUAUAUAAUAUACUGUCUUCAGAGUCCAUAUAUUCAUAUCAACCUAUAAUUGUCAUUCUUAGCAAGUGAAAGAAAAAAAAUUAAACUCAAAACUAGGUUCUUUGUACUGUUUA